UACGAAGGGGGCUAGCGUUGCUCGGAAUCACUGGGCGUAAAGCGCACGUAGGCGGAUUGCUAAGUCAGGGGUGAAAUCCUGGAGCUCAACUCCAGAACUGCCUUUGAUACUGAGAAGCUCGAGUCCGGGAGAGGUGAGUGGAACUGCGAGUGUAGAGGUGAAAUUCGCAGAUAUUCGCAAGAACACCAGUGGCGAAGGCAGCUCACUGGCCCGGUACUGACGCUGAGGCGCGAAAGCGUGGGGAGCAAACAGG
rnacentral:rRNA from 1 species